GAUGAACGCUAGCGGCAGGCUUAAUACAUGCAAGUCGAGGGGCAGCAUGGUGUAGCAAUACACUGAUGGCGACCGGCAAACGGGUGCGGAACACGUACAGAACCUUCCUUCGAGCGGGGAAUAGCCCAGAGAAAUUUGGAUUAAUACCCCAUAGUAUUAUGGAUUGGCAUCACUUUGUAAUUAAAGAUUUAUCACUUGAAGAUGGCUGUGCGGCUGAUUGGGUAGUUGGCGGGGUAACGGCCCACCAAGCCUGCGAUCAGUAACUGGUGUGAGAGCACGACCAGUCACACGGGCACUGAGACACGGGCCCGACUCCUACGGGAGGCAGCAGUAAGGAAUAUUGGUCAAUGGACGAAAGUCUGAACCAGCCAUGCCGCGUGGAGGAUGAAGGUCCUCUGGAUUGUAAACUUCUUUUAUAUGGGACGAAAAAGGCCUUUCUAGGUCGUCUGACGGUACCAUAUGAAUAAGCACCGGCUAACUCCGUGCCAGCAGCCGCGGUAAUC
rnacentral:rRNA from 1 species